CCUACGGGAGGCAGCAGUGGGGAAUAUUGCGCAAUGGGCGAAAGCCUGACGCAGCGACGCCGCGUGUGGGAUGACGGCCUUCGGGUUGUAAGCCACUGUCGGGAGGGACGAAUGCGCCGCAAGGCGAGUGACGGUACCUCCAAAGGAAGCACCGGCUAACUCCGUGCCAGCAGCCGCGGUAAUACGGAGGGUGCGAGCGUUGUCCGGAAUCACUGGGCGUAAAGGGCGCGUAGGCGGCCUGGUAAGUAGGAGGUGAAAUCCUGCGGCUUAACCGCAGGGCUGCCUUCUAAACUGUCAGGCUCGAGCACAGUAGAGGCAGGUGGAAUUCCCGGUGUAGCGGUGGAAUGCGUAGAGAUCGGGAAGAACAUCAGUGGCGAAGGCGGCCUGCUGGGCUGUUGCUGACGCUGAGGCGCGACAGCGUGGGGAGCAAACAGGAUUAGAUACCCUGGUAGUCCACGCCGUAAACGAUGGGCACUAGGCGUCGGGGGGAGCGACCCUCCCGGUGCCGUCGCUAACGCAGUAAGUGCCCCGCCUGGGGAGUACGGCCGCAAGGCUGAAACUCAAAGGAAUUGACGG
rnacentral:rRNA from 1 species